CGUCAAGUCCUCAUGGCCCUUAUGUCCAGGGCUACACACGUGCUACAAUGGGCGGUACAAAGGGAAGCAACCCCGCGAGGGUGAGCCAAUCCCAAAAAGCCGCUCUCAGUUCGGAUUGCAGUCUGCAACUCGACUGCAUGAAGGUGGAAUCGCUAGUAAUCGCGGAUCAGCACGCCGCGGUGAAUACGUUCUCGGGCCUU
rnacentral:rRNA from 1 species